UACGUAGGGUGCGAGCGUUAAUCGGAAUUACUGGGCGUAAAGCGUGCGUAGGCGGUUGGCAAAGUCAGCUGUGAAAGCCCCGGGCUCAACCUGGGAAUGGCGGUUGAAACUAGUCGACUCGAAUCUGGCAGAGAGGGGUGGAAUUCCACGUGUAGCAGUGAAAUGCGUAGAGAUGUGGAGGAACACCGAUGGCGAAGGCAGCCCCCUGGGCUGAGAUUGACGCUCAGGCACGAAAGCGUGGGGAGCAAACAGG
rnacentral:rRNA from 1 species